UGUUCGCACAUAUAGCUAGGGAAACAUGCGAGGGCGAGCUUCUCACUUGAUGGCGUCAGAAGAAAACAAUAAAAUGUUGAACUCUAAAGGAGACUCAGCGUCUUUACCGAAACACUCCUACUGGUUUGAUUUUUGGGUGUUCGUACUCAUUGACCUUGCGUUGUUUGUCGUCAUGUACUUCGUAAUCUCUUAAAACAUUUGUCCCCUGGAUACAUGAAGGGCUGCUCCUGCGCUGCUGUCAGGGAUGCUAACCCAGCUUUGACUGAACAUAAUGCUGCAUUAUUGGAUAUCGCAUCCCAAGUUUCCAUGGGUUGGACUAUGGAACUUCAAGUUUUAUAUAUGUGACAUCCUGCUCUUAUAUGAGAGAUUUGAACCACAAAAGAAAUUCCCAUUGUACCCUGCUGCCAUUGGCUAAGAACUGUCUUUCUAAGUGGAUGGAUUCAUGAUAUUGUUGUGGGUGAGAGGACAAAUUGAAGUUUGUGUUAUUUAAAUGUGAGAGUUAGUUAUUGGCUUUAUCAGAAUUUGUACCUGAUGCAAAAUCACUAAGAUGCUAUUGUAAUUGUUGUCACUAUAAAUGUUGCCUAGUAGAACGGA